ACUCCUACGGGAGGCAGCAGUAAGGAAUAUUGCGCAAUGGACGAAAGUCUGACGCAGCGACGCCGCGUGGGGGAUGAAGGUCUUCGGAUUGUAAACCCCUUUCGGGAGGGAAGACGGAGUGGGUAACCACUUGGACGGUACCUCCAGAAGCAGCCACGGCUAACUUCGUGCCAGCAGCCGCGGUAAUACGAAGGUGGCAAGCGUUGUUCGGAUUCACUGGGCGUACAGGGAGCGUAGGCGGUUGGGUAAGCCCUCCGUGAAAUCUCCGGGCCUAACCCGGAAAGUGCAGAGGGGACUGCUCAGCUAGAGGAUGGGAGAGGAGCGCGGAAUUCCCG
rnacentral:rRNA from 1 species